GAAUCUUAGACAAUGGGCGCAAGCCUGAUCUAGCCAUGCCGCGUGAGUGAUGAAGGCCUUAGGGUCGUAAAGCUCUUUCGCCAGAGAUGAUAAUGACAGUAUCUGGUAAAGAAACCCCGGCGAACUCCGUGCCAGCAGCCGCGGUAAUACGGAGGGGGUUAGCGUUGUUCGGAAUUACUGGGCGUAAAGCGCACGUAGGCGGAUCAGAAAGUUGGGGGUGAAAUCCCAGGGCUCAACCCUGGAACGGCCUCCAAAACUCCUGGUCUUGAGUUCGAGAGAGGUGAGUGGAAUUCCGAGUGUAGAGGUGAAAUUCGUAGAUAUUCGGAAGAACACCAGUGGCGAAGGCGACUGACUGGACAAGUAUUGACGCUGAGGUGCGAAAGCGUGGGGAGCAAACAGG
rnacentral:rRNA from 1 species